GGCCGUGGCGGCGUGCUACCAUGCAAGUCGAGCGGAGCAAUCUUGAUGAAGUUUUCGGAUGGAAUCAGGAUUGACUUAGCGGCGGACGGGUGAGUAACACGUGGAUAACCUGCCUUAUACUGGGGGAUAACAGCCAGAAAUGGCUGCUAAUACCGCAUAAGCGCACGGCGCCGCAUGGCGCAGUGUGAAAAACUCCGGUGGUAUAAGAUGGAUCCGCGCCUGAUUAGCUAGUUGGCGGGGCAACGGCCCACCAAGGCGACGAUCAGUAGCCGGCCUGAGAGGGUGGACGGCCACAUUGGGACUGAGACACGGCCCAAACUCCUACGGGAGGCAGCAGUGGGGAAUAUUGGACAAUGGGGGGAACCCUGAUCCAGCGACGCCGCGUGAGUGAAGAAGUAUUUCGGUAUGUAAAGCUCUAUCAGCAGGGAAGAAAGAAAUGACGGUACCUGACUAAGAAGCCCCGGCUAACUACGUGCCAGCAGCCGCGGUAAUACGUAGGGGGCAAGCGUUAUCCGGAUUUACUGGGUGUAAAGGGAGCGUAGACGGCAGGGCAAGUCUGAAGUGAAAGGCGGGGGCCCAACCCCCGGACUGCUUUGGAAACUGUAUAACUGGAGUGCAGGAGAGGUAAGUGGAAUUCCUAGUGUAGCGGUGAAAUGCGUAGAUAUUACGAGGAACACCAGUGGCGAAGGCGGCUUACUGGACUGUAACUGACGUUGAGGCUCGAAAGCGUGGGGAGCAAACACGAUUAAAAUACCCUGCUAGUCCAUGCCGUAAACGAUGAUCACUAAGUGUCGGUGGGUAUGCACACAUCGGUUGCCUCGCAAUACGCUUAAAUGAUCCACCUGGGGAG
rnacentral:rRNA from 1 species